UAGUUUUAAGACUAGCGUAAGAUCAUGAUCAACUGGAGGUAGAGCUACUGAAUGUAUGAUGGCGCCGCCUUGGUGUACUGAAUACAAUUAAACUCCGAAUGCCAAUUGAUUUAUUCUUGCAGUCAGACAGUGGGGGAUAAGCUUCAUUGUCACAAGGGGAAGAGCCCAGAUCAUUAAAUAAGGUCCCUAAAAUAUGCUAAGUGGAAAAGGUUGUUAAAAUACUUAAACAGCAAGGAUGUUGGCUUAGAAGCAGCCAUCGUUUAAAGAGUGCGUAACAGCUCACUUGUCGAGUGUUUUUGCGCCGAAGAUGUAACGGGGCUAAGCAUAUUACCGAAUUUAUGGAUUAUUAUUCGUAAGAAUGAUAGUGGUAGACGAGCGUUGUAUAUGGGAUGAAGUCAAACCGUGAGGAUUGGUGGACUGUAUACAAGUGAGAAUGCCGGUGUAAGUAACGCUUGAGAGUGAGAAUCUCUCAAACCGAUUGACUAAGGUUUCCU
rnacentral:rRNA from 1 species